rnacentral:rRNA from 1 species
UACAGAGGGUGCAAGCGUUGUUCGGAAUUAUUGGGCGUAAAGGGCGCGUAGGCGGCUUUGCAAGUCUGACGUGAAAUCCCUCAGCUCAACUGAGGAAGUGCAUCGGAAACUGCAAGGCUUGAGUACUGAAGAGGAUCGCGGAAUUCCCGGUGUAGAGGUGAAAUUCGUAGAUAUCGGGAGGAACACCAGUGGCGAAGGCGGCUUCCUGGACCGGUUCUGACACUGAGGAGCGAAAGCGUGGGGAGCGAUCCGG